ACCCUCAAGUAAGUGCUCUCUCAACCUCACUAGUCGGUGCUCAGCUGUAUCCAGCUUCAGGUUUGUCUCUUCUAGCUCAGCUCGAAGACUUUCUACUUCUAUCUCGAGCUCCGACUUCUUAGCGGGCCUAUUAACAAUCUCUCCUGGAUUAUCUUCAAUUGGUCCAUCACUAUCAUUAUCAGAUUCAAGGUCAAAGUUAUUAAUUGAAC
rnacentral:lncRNA from 1 species